CGGAAGCAAACACUACAAAUUACGUUGGUCAUACUGGGACACAUGGGAGACUUUGCACUAAGGAAGGCCACAGUCACAGGCAACCAGAUCUUUUGAUUGCAUUUGUGCUUCCUCUGCACAGAAGACAAUUGAUGCAGAAGGUUUUUCAAUCUGGAUACCCAAGUCCACCUAAAAGCCAGCGUACAAGCAGAAGCACUUGCAGGAUGCAGCUUUUGUUUUGAUGCGUGCUUUGCCUCUCCUAUUAUCAAUGACUCAAAAACUUAUGUUACAAAGAUGGCACCAUGCACAUGCAUGUGCAGGCCUUGGGCUCUUGU
rnacentral:lncRNA from 12 species